rnacentral:lncRNA from 1 species
CGGGACCUCGCGGUGACCUCCGCGCGUCCCGGACACGAGCGUCGGCCUCGCCGUCAGUUUCUGGCGGAGAAAAGGGAAAAGCCGCUCCGGACGGAUGGGGCGUGCCUCCAGGGGCCUGAGUCAGUACCCUCGGUGCCAUCAAAAGUACUGGUGAUGCAACAUUCCUUAAGCAAGGCUCCACCAUUUUUUUCCUGAGAUUUUCUUCUAAGUUUCUGACAUCCAUUCUGCAGGUUUUGAUGCCUGUGCUUUCUUCAUCUUACCAAAAGCUGUCAAUGGAAGAUUUCAG